rnacentral:lncRNA from 1 species
AUGUUCUAGCUUCUCCCCCGCAACUGCCAAAUCCAGAGCUGUCUCCUGGGGCCCCUCCAUCCCACCACGUCUGCUCAGUCUAGGCCCUCACUGGCUUUCACCUGGGCCAUCUGAACAGCAUCCUUUCUGGUCUUCCCGCCUGCAGCCCUUUUCCUUCUGGGGCCAGUUUUCUCCCCAGAUGCUCCUGUGAUUGCCCCACAAACAGUUGAGAUAAUCGCCACGUCCACAAAGUCCUUCCCCCGCAGACUCCUGAGGUGCAGUCAGCCGCUGCUCUGGUUUCGGCCUCAUCACUUCAUCUCUCCCCCGACUGUCCUGUCCCGUGGACCCCAGGCCUUAACUGUGCCGAGGAGUCAUGAACCCCAAACAUCUUGGAGGCUUUCACAAUGUCAUUUCCUUGGCUCGGGAUGCUGUUUCGCCCCCUCCUUUGAUAGUCAGGUGUCUCCUUCAAGGCUCAUUCAAGCCUCUCCCAGAAGUCCAGGCAGGGAGCCUCACUAGGGGUGGGCUGAGUCCACCUGCGCACUAGCCCAGCCCACGCCUCCUUUCUGCUUCUCCCCAGCAACCGACUUGAGGUGAGGCGCAAAGUAGAUGUUCGCUAAAAAUCUAAAUGCAGGAGGUCCCGUCAUGGCUCAGCGGUAAUGAACCUGACUAGCAUUCUCUGAGGACGAGGGGUCGGUCCCUGGCCUCGCUCAGUGGGUUAAGGAUCCAGCGUUGCUGUGAGCUGUGGUGUAGGUCGCAGACACGGCUUGGAUCUGGUGUUGCUGUGGCUGUGGCGUAGGCCAGCAGCUCCAGAUCUGAUGGGAUCUCUAGCCUGGGAAAAAAAAAGAAAAAAAAAAUCUGAAUGCAAAGAUGAAGGAAUGAAUGGCCCAUUCCGACACACCUUUGCCCAGGCAUAAAGGCAAAAUAAGGGAUUGGUGGCGGGGUGGGGGAUGCUGCCCAUGGCAUGUUGAAGUUUCCGGUGCAGGGAUCGAACUUGCACCACAGCACUAACCAGAGCCACAGUAGUAGAUCCAUAACCCACUGAGCCACCAGGGAACUCCAAGCCAGGGAUUUUUUCUUUUUUUUCCUUUUUUUUUAGGGCCAUGUCUGUGGCAUAUGGAAGUUCCCAGGCUAGGGAUCAAAAUGAAGUUGCAGCUUUCAGCCUACGCCAUAGCCACAGCAACACCAGAUCCUUAAUCCACUGAGCAAUGCCAGGGAUCCAACCCACAUCCUCACAGACACUAUGUCGGGUUCUUAACCCUUUGAGCCACAAUAGGAACUCCAAGACAGGGAUUUUUGUAAUUGAAAUAUAAUUAAUGUACAGUAUUAUGUAAGUUAUGGGUGUACACUAUAGUGAUUCACAAUUUUGUUGUUGUUGUUGUCUAGGGCCGCACCUGCAGCAUAUGAAAGUUCCAGGCUAGGGGUCCAAUUGGACCUGUAGCCACUGGCCUACACCACAGCCACAGCAAC